rnacentral:rRNA from 1 species
AUUAAGUACGACUAAGUAGUACCUUAGCGGCGGACGGGUGAGUAACGCGUGGGCAACCUGCCUUGAACAGGGGGAUAACACAGGGAAACUUGUGCUAAUACCGCAUAACAUUAUCUGAUGGCAUCGUUAGAUAAUCAAAGGAGCAAUCCGGUUUAAGAUGGGCCCGCGUCCAAUUAGCUAGUUGGUGAUGUAACGGACCACCAAGGCGACGAUUGGUAGCCGAACUGAGAGGUUGAUCGGCCACAUUGGGACUGAGACACGGCCCAGACUCCUACGGGAGGCAGCAGUGGGGAAUAUUGCGCAAUGGGGGAAACCCUGACGCCAGCAACGCCGCGUGAAGGAUGAAGGCUUUCGGGUUGUAAACUUCUUUGAUGAGGGACGAAACAAAUGACGGUACCUCAAAAACAAGCCUACGGCUAACUACGUGCCAGCAGCUGC